GGUGGAUAAAUUCGUGGAGGAGCUCAAGGAAGCCUUGGAUGCGGACAUUCAAGAUCGAAUCAUGAAGGAGAGGGAAAUGCAGAGUUAUAUUGAAGAGCGCGAACGUGAGGUUGCUGAACGUGAAGCUGCUUGGAAAGCUGAGCUCUCCCGUCGCGAGGCAGAGAUUGCUAGACAAGAAGCAAGGUUGAAGAUGGAGAAGGAAAAUCUGGAAAAGGAGAAAAGUGUGCUAAUGGGAACUGCAUCAAAUCAAGACAAUCAAGAUGGAGCUCUUGAAAUUACUGUAAGUGGUGAAAAGUACAGAUG
rnacentral:misc_RNA from 1 species